UACGUAGGGGGCAAGCGUUGUCCGGAAUCAUUGGGCGUAAAGCGCGUGUAGGCGGCUUGGUAAGUCCGCUCUGAAAGCCCGGGGCUCAACCCCGGGAGGCGGGUGGAUACUGUCAAGCUCGAGUCCGGAAGAGGCGAGUGGAAUUCCUGGUGUAGCGGUGAAAUGCGCAGAUAUCAGGAAGAACACCCGUGGCGAAAGCGGCUCUCUGGAACGGUACUGACGCUGAGACGCGAAAGCGUGGGGAGCGAACAGG
rnacentral:rRNA from 1 species